rnacentral:rRNA from 1 species
UGGGGAAUAUUGCGCAAUGGGGGAAACCCUGACGCAGCGACGCCGCGUGCGGGAUGAAGGCCUUCGGGUUGUAAACCGCUUUUGAUUGGGAGCAAGCUUUCGGGUGAGUGUACCUUUCGAAUAAGCGCCGGCUAACUACGUGCCAGCAGCCGCGGUAAUACGUAGGGCGCAAGCGUUGUCCGGAAUUAUUGGGCGUAAAGGGUACGUAGGCGGUUUUUUAAGUCAGGUGUCAAAGCGUGGAGCUUAACUCCAUUAAGCACUUGAAACUGAAAGACUUGAGUGAAGGAGAGGAAAGUGGAAUUCCUAGUGUAGCGGUGAAAUGCGUAGAUAUUAGGAGGAAUACCGGUGGCGAAGGCGACUUUCUGGACUUUUACUGACGCUCAGGUACGAAAGCGUGGGGAGCAAACAGG